ACACAUGCAGUCGACGAUGACUCUCUAGCUUGCUAGAGAAGAUUAGUGGCGGACGGGUGAGUAACAUUUAGGAAUCUGCCUAGUAGUGGGGGAUAGCUCGGGGAAACUCGAAUUAAUACCGCAUACGACCUACGGGUGAAAGGGGGCGCAAGCUCUUGCUAUUAGAUGAGCCUAAAUCAGAUUAGCUAGUUGGUGGGGUAAAGGCCCACCAAGGCGACGAUCUGUAACUGGUCUGAGAGGAUGAUCAGUCACACCGGAACUGAGACACGGUCCGGACUCCUACGGGAGGCAGCAGUGGGGAAUAUUGGACAAUGGGGGCAACCCUGAUCCAGCCAUGCCGCGUGUGUGAAGAAGGCCUUUUGGUUGUAAAGCACUUUAAGCAGGGAGGAGAGGCUAAUGGUUAAUACCCAUUAGAUUAGACGUUACCUGCAGAAUAAGCACCGGCUAACUCUGUGCCAGCAGCCGCGGUAAUACAGAGGGUGCGAGCGUUAAUCGGAAUUACUGGGCGUAAAGCGAGUGUAGGUGGCUCAUUAAGUCACAUGUGAAAUCCCCGGGCUUAACCUGGGAACUGCAUGUGAUACUGGUGGUGCUAGAAUAUGUGAGAGGGAAGUAGAAUUCCAGGUGUAGCGGUGAAAUGCGUAGAGAUCUGGAGGAAUACCGAUGGCGAAGGCAGCUUCCUGGCAUAAUAUUGACACUGAGAUUCGAAAGCGUGGGUAGCAAACAGGAUUAGAUACCCUGGUAGUCCACGCCGUAAACGAUGUCUACUAGCCGUUGGGGUCCUUGAGACUUUAGUGGCGCAGUUAACGCGAUAAGUAGACCGCCUGGGGAGUACGGCCGCAAGGUUAAAACUCAAAUGAAUUGACGGGGGCCCGCACAAGCGGUGGAGCAUGUGGUUUAAUUCGAUGCAACGCGAAGAACCUUACCUGGUCUUGACAUAGUGAGAAUCCUGCAGAGAUGCGGGAGUGCCUUCGGGAAUUCACAUACAGGUGCUGCAUGGCUGUCGUCAGCUCGUGUCGUGAGAUGUUGGGUUAAGUCCCGCAACGAGCGCAACCCUUUUCCUUAUUUGCCAGCGGGUUAAGCCGGGAACUUUAAGGAUACUGCCAGUGACAAACUGGAGGAAGGCGGGGACGACGUCAAGUCAUCAUGGCCCUUACGACCAGGGCUACACACGUGCUACAAUGGUAGGUACAGAGGGUUGCUACACAGCGAUGUGAUGCUAAUCUCAAAAAGCCUAUCGUAGUCCGGAUUGGAGUCUGCAACUCGACUCCAUGAAGUCGGAAUCGCUAGUAAUCGCAGAUCAGAAUGCUGCGGUGAAUACGUUCCCGGGCCUUGUACACACCGCCCGUCACACCAUGGGAGUCUAUUGCACCAGAAGUAGGUAGCCUAACGCAAGA
rnacentral:rRNA from 1 species